UACCGGUUUGACCGACGACCUUGGAUUCUUCCAUGACGAAUUGCCGGCACUGAGGGUUUCUAUUACGAGUGCACCGUUACUUUGGAACGUAUCCAACACUCAGUUUGUAAAACGUUUUAGUACUCGUGUUUCGGUGGAUUUUUAUUUUAUUUUCGUUUCUAGACAUUUCUAACCCCUUUGUGAAGGAAGAUUCGCUGUGUGUUUUUUUGUGAUU